CCUACGGGUGGCAGCAGUGAGGAAUAUUGGUCAAUGGACGAGAGUCUGAACCAGCCAAGUAGCGUGAAGGAUGACUGCCCUAUGGGGUGUAAACUUCUUUUAUAGGGGAAUAAAACGUGCCACGUGUGGGAUUUUGUAUGUACCAUAUGAAUAAGGAUCGGCUAACUCCGGGCCAGCAGCCGCGGUAAUACGGAGGAUCCGGGCGUUAUCCGGAUUUAUUGGGUUUAAAGGGAGCGUAGGUGGAUUGUUAAGUCAGUUGUGCCAGUUUGCGGCUCACCCGUAAAAUUGCAGUUGCAACUGGCAGUCUUGUGUACAGUAGAGGUGGGCGGAUUUCGUGGUGUAGCGGU
rnacentral:rRNA from 1 species